GAUGAACGCUAGCGGCAGGCCUAAUACAUGCAAGUCGAACGGUAAGGCCCUUUCGGGGGUACACGAGUGGCGGACGGGUGCGUAACGCGUAUGCAACAUGCCUUCCAGCGGGGGAGUAUACCAGGGAAACUUGGCGCAAUACCCCACUAGAAUUACGGGACCGGCAUGGUCUUGUGAUUAAAACUACCGGUGCUGGGAGGAUUGGCAUGCGUGACAUUAGCUAGUUGGCGGGGUAACGGGCCCACCCAAGGCGACGAUGUCUAGCUGGUCUGAGAGGAUGAUCAGCCACACUGGGACGUGAGACACGGCCCA
rnacentral:rRNA from 1 species